UGGGGAAUAUUGGACAAUGGGCGCAAGCCUGAUCCAGCAAUGCCGCGUGAGUGAGGAAGGCCUUAGGGUUGUAAAGCUCUUUCGGCGGGGACGAUGAUGACGGUACCCGCAGAAGAAGCCCCGGCUAACUUCGUGCCAGCAGCCGCGGUAAUACGAAGGGGGCGAGCGUUGUUCGGAUUUACUGGGCGUAAAGGGCGCGUAGGCGGCGGUUCGUGUCGAGUGUGAAAGCCCCGGGCUCAACCUGGGAAUUGCGCUCGAGACUGGAUUGCUUGAGUUCGGGAGAGGAGCGUGGAAUUCCCAGUGUAGAGGUGAAAUUCGUAGAUAUUGGGAAGAACACCGGUGGCGAAGGCGGCGCUCUGGACCGAAACUGACGCUGAGGCGCGAAAGCGUGGGGAGCAAACAGGAUUAGAUACCCCCGUAGUCC
rnacentral:rRNA from 1 species